ACGGAAGGCAGCAGUGAGGAAUAUUGGUCAAUGGACGCAAGUCUGAACCAGCCAUGCCGCGUGCAGGAAUAAGGCCCUAUGGGUCGUAAACUGCUUUUGUGGUGGAGCAAUAAGUCGUACGUGUACGGCGAUGAGAGUACAUCACGAAUAAGCAUCGGCUAACUCCGUGCCAGCAGCCGCGGUAAUACGGAGGAUGCAAGCGUUAUCCGGAUUUAUUGGGUUUAAAGGGUGCGUAGGCUGUGGUCCAAGUCAGGGGUGAAAGCCCGGAGCUCAACUCCGGAACUGCCUUUGAUACUGGAUUGCUAGAAUACGGAUGCCGUGGGAGGAAUGAGUAGUGUAGCGGUGAAAUGCAUAGAUAUUACUCAGAACACCGAUUGCGAAGGCAUCUCACGAAUCCGUCAUUGACGCUGAGGCACGAAAGCGUGGGGAUCAAACAGGAUUAGAUACCCUGGUA
rnacentral:rRNA from 1 species